ACUCCUACGGGAGGCAGCAGUGGGGAAUAUUGCACAAUGGGCGCAAGCCUGAUGCAGCCAUGCCGCGUGUAUGAAGAAGGCCUUCGGGUUGUAAAGUACUUUCAGCAGUGAGGAAGGUGGAUAUGUUAAUAGCAUAUUCUAUUUGUACGUUAGCUGCAGAAGAAGCACCGGCUAACUCCGUGCCAGCAGCCGCGGUAAUACGGAGGGUGCGAGCGUUAAUCGGAAUUACUGGGCGUAAAGCGCAUGCAGGUGGUUUGUUAAGUCAGAUGUGAAAGCCCGGGGCUCAACCUCGGAAUUGCAUUUGAAACUGGCAAACUAGAGUACUGUAGAGGGGUAGAAUUUCAGGUGUAGCGGUGAAAUGCGUAGAGAUCUGAAGGAAUACCGGUGGCGAACGGCGGCCCCCGUGGACAGAUACUGACACUCAGAUGCGAAAGCGUGGGAGC
rnacentral:rRNA from 1 species